CAAAGGAAACUUUAUAUUUUGAUCAGAGAAUGGAGAGUUAGAAUCAUCAUACCUGAAUCCACUCAUUAUGCUGCUACGGGCCUGAUGACAUAGAUUUCAUUGCUGAGUGAUAUUGCUUUUUAGAAUCAUCAUACCUGAAUCCACUCAUUUU